AUGCAGUCGAGCGAUCGAUGGGAGCUUGCUCCCUGAGAUUAGCGGCGGACGGGUGAGUAACACGUGGGCAACCUGCCUAUAAGACUGGGAUAACUUCGGGAAACCGGAGCUAAUACCGGAUACGUUCUUUUCUCGCAUGAGAGAAGAUGGAAAGACGGUUUACGCUGUCACUUNUANAUGGGCCCGCGGCGCAUUAGCUAGUUGGUGAGGUAAUGGCUCACCAAGGCGACGAUGCGUAGCCGACCUGAGAGGGUGAUCGGCCACACUGGGACUGAGACACGGCCCANACUCCUACGGGAGGCAGCAGUAGGGAAUCUUCCGCAAUGGACGAAAGUCUGACGGAGCAACGCCGCGUGAACGAAGAAGGCCUUCGGGUCGUAAAGUUCUGUUGUUAGGGAAGAACAAGUACCAGAGUAACUGCUGGUACCUUGACGGUACCUAACCAGAAAGCCACGGCUAACUACGUGCCAGCAGCCGCGGUAAUACGUAGGUGGCAAGCGUUGUCCGGAAUUAUUGGGCGUAAAGCGCGCGCAGGUGGUUCCUUAAGUCUGAUGUGAAAGCCCACGGCUCAACCGUGGAGGGUCAUUGGAAACUGGGGAACUUGAGUGCAGAAGAGGAAAGUGGAAUUCCAAGUGUAGCGGUGAAAUGCGUAGAGAUUUGGAGGAACACCAGUGGCGAAGGCGACUUUCUGGUCUGUAACUGACACUGAGGCGCGAAAGCGUGGGGAGCAAACAGGAUUAGAUACCCUGGUAGUCCACGCCGUAAACGAUGAGUGCUAAGUGUUAGAGGG
rnacentral:rRNA from 1 species